ncrna:unclassified sequences uup RNA
GAAAGCUUUGCUCUGUACAGUUGAAAACGAUGAAGCAUUGUGCAGAGC